CCUACGGGUGGCAGCAGUGGGGAAUAUUGCACAAUGGGGGCAACCCUGAUGCAGCGACGCCGCGUGAAUGAAGAAGUAUUUCUGUAUGUAAAGCUCUAUCAGCAGGGAAGAAAAUGCCGGUACCUGACUAAGGAGCCCCGGCUCACAACGUGCCAGCAGCCGCGGUAAUACGGAGGGGGCAAGCGUUAUCCGGAAUUACUGGGGGUAAAGGGGGCGUAGGGGGGAUGGUAAGCGAGAAGGUAAAACCCGGGGCUCAACCCCGCGGACUGCUUUUGGAACUCUCAGGCUGGAGUGCAGGAGGGGUAGGCGGAAUGGAUAGUGUAGCGGUGAAAUGCGUAGAGAUUAGGAGGAACACCGGUGGCGAAGGCGGCUUACUGGACAGAAACUGACACUGAGGCUCGAAAGCGUGGGGAGCAAACAGGAUUAGAUACCCUAGUAGUC
rnacentral:rRNA from 1 species